rnacentral:rRNA from 1 species
CAGUCGCCACGGGAAUGCGUAGGGUGCGAGCGUUAAUCGGAAUUACUGGGCGUAAAGCGUGCGCAGGCGGUUCGUUAAGACAGAUGUGAAAUCCCCGGGCUUAACCUGGGAACUGCAUUUGUGACUGGCGAGCUAGAGUAUGGCAGAGGGAGGUAGAAUUCCACGUGUAGCAGUGAAAUGCGUAGAGAUGUGGAGGAAUACCGAUGGCGAAGGCAGCCCCCUGGGCCAAUACUGACGCUCAUGCACGAAAACAUGGGGAGCAAACAGGAUUAGAUACCCCAGUAGUCCCUGUCUCUUAUAC